rnacentral:tRNA from 1 species
GGUCCCUUGGCCCAGUUGGUUAAGGCGUGGUGCUGAUAACGCCAAGAUCAGCAGUUCGAUCCUGCUAGGGACCACCA